CCAGGCUGAAGACUUUGCCGGAUUAGCUGAGAGGUGGUGCAUGGCCGUCGUCAGUUCGUACUGUGAAGCAUCCUGUUAAGUCAGGCAACGAGCGAGACCCACGCCCACAGUUGCCAGCGUACUCUCCGGAGUGACGGGUACACUGUGGGGACCGCCGCUGCUAAAGCGGAGGAAGGAAUGGGCAACGGUAGGUCAGUAUGCCCCGAAUAUCCCGGGCUACACGCGAGCUACAAUGGUUGGUACAAUGGGUAUCUACCCCGAAAGGGGACGGGAAUCUCCUAAAACCAAUCUUAGUUCGGAUUGAGGGCUGCAACUCGCCCUCAUGAAGCUGGAAUCCGUAGUAAUCGCGUUUCAACAGAACGCGGUGAAUACGUCCCUGCUCCUU
rnacentral:rRNA from 1 species